rnacentral:lncRNA from 1 species
UGGUUAUAAACGUUCCUGAUGAAGUUCUUAAAUAAAAGUAGCAAUAUAAAGCGCCAAUGUGGACUUUUUACAGUUAACUAGCAAAUAAUUACUACUCAUGGAAUUAAUGAAAAAACAUGCAAUUUUAAUCAUAGUUGGAUAUUUGUUUAUUGAGGUUGGCCUUUUAUGUGGUCUGUUUACAAACAAAUGGAUAAAGACAAACGAAUAUCAUUUUGGCCUCAGGAGAUAUUGUAACAAUACUAUAGAUGGUACUAUCUGUCACAACGUUGUGGAUAUACUUCCAAAUCUUGAAUGUAAGUUAUAAUAAUAAUGAUAAUGGAGCUAUGAAAAAAAUUAGUUAGAAAAUAUUGAUUGUAUUUUUGAAUUAUUGAUUCGAUGAAGUAACAUGCAUUUCUAUGUUCUUACAUGUAUAUAAGUAUAGUUUUUGGCAGGCUUAACCGAACAUAAAAUAUUUUUUUCAAUAAAAUGCAGCACAUGUAUACACUAGUAGUUAGCUCUCCUACUGAGAUAUACACUUUCUAAUACUUUAUCCAGAUAAUAUAACGAAAUCGACACAUCCCGAAGGGUAAGUAUAUCCUGCUUCACAUGUUGCACCCCGUCGUGUUGCUCAUGUUAUUACAAAACUAGUAAACAGUCUAAUUCGGUAUGUCAUAUUCGUAAAAAGGGAACGGUAUUGUAGUUACGACAUAUUAAAGGAACAUAUCCACAAUCAUCUGUGUAGCGGAUAUUCCAUAACGUUAAACCAACUCGUGAAUUGCGUCCGUUAAUUUUACGAAGUGAUGAUUUCAAAUUCGCUAUUUGGAACUCUUGGUUUAAAAGUGAAAAUGUCACAAUUCGGAAUCAGAAUCAUCUCUUUUGUAGGAAAGUUUUGUCUCGAACCGACCCGUAUAGUCAAUUGCUAGAUAUAAGUCCUCAUCAAAAAGCAAAAUCAAAAGCUAAAACACAUCAAACAAAUGGAUAGCAACUUUCAUAUUCCUUACUUGGUACAGGCAUUUCCUUAUAGAGAAAAUGGUGGAUUGAACCUGGUUUUAUCGCGCUUAACCUCUCACUUGUAUGACAGUGGCAUCAAAUUCUGUUAUGUUUACAACGAUGUCUGAAUAAAACAGACAUGAUAGGUAAAAUAGUCAAAAUAUGGGUACACUGUGUCACAAUCUCAAAACAAACAAAUAUUUAACAAAAAAGCACACAAAGCAUCUAUCAAUUUAAAAAAAUAACACAUUCAUUGCUUCGCGUGUUUUACGGCAGAAAUGUAAACGUCACAAAGGAAGACAUUUUGUCGUUCAAAGAAUUUAAAAAAAAAAAUUUAAUUUCACAUGGGGCAUUGUGGUAUGCAGGGUUAAAAAAAUCAAAAGCUAUGUUAAAACUAAUUUCAGAAACAGAUAUAAAUUAUUUUUUAAAGCUUUAGUUUUGCCGUCUUCGACCUUGCAUUGAACAAAAGACUGGUUUUUUUUUCUUAGGUUAAAUGCUUUGUAUCAUAAUUACAAUCUACGAAUUAAUGGAAAAUUACAUUAUCUAAUUUUAUGAUUCAAAGACAUGAUUUCAAAUAGUUAUGAUGAAACCGGACUACACUUAUAUCAUGUAUAUAUGUUGAAACUAACAAAUAUAAUUAAAGAAAGUACACAUUUGAUUUUUUUAAAGACAAUGUUCAAACUUGUCAUUGACAAAAUUAAUAAUGUGAUACUGUAGAUUAGACAAACAUAAAUCUGAGAUAAAAAAAAAAAGGUGAAAAAAGCUCAUUUAUUACUUUUUUAUUUACAAUGCAGCGCAAUUAAUAAUUAACAUCAAAUGAAAUUAACAAUGGAAAUGAGCUAUGUGUCAAAGAGACAAACACCUGACCAAAACGCAGCAAACAGCCCAAGACCAACAAUGAGUCUUCAAAAAAAUUAAAUCACAAAAAUACUGAAUUCCAUAUAAAAUUCAAACAGAAAAGUCCUUAAUCAAAUGGCAAAAUCAAAUGCUCAAACAUCAAACGAAUGGAUAACAACUGUCAUAUUCUUGACUUGGUACAGGCAUUUUCCUUUGUAGAAAAUGGUGUAUUAAACCUGCUUUUAUAGCUAGCGAAACCUUGCACUUGUAUGACAGUCCCAUCAAAUUCCAUUAUAUUGACAACGAUAUGUGAACAAACAAGAUAUAAUAAAUAAAAAUGUCAAAAUUAGGGGUACAGCAGACAACAUUGUGUUAUAAUCUUAAUCACUAUAAAAGCAAACAAAUAUGUAACAAAGAAGCGUAAAAAGGAUAUAGGCACAUCGAGAAAAUAUGGAUGCGGGCGUAAUCUGGCACUUAAAUAAAAUGUAAUUAUAGAAUAUUAAAAAGGGACGUCACACUCAACUCCAAAACGCAUAAAUGAAUUAGUUAUUUUUUUUAAACCAUACGAGACUGUCCCUGUCUUUAGACAUUAACAACAAUUAUGCGGGUUUACACAUGUUUUCUGAUAUCUCAACCCUUCCUCUAUUCGUCUGGCCAGCUCAGAAUAAACAUAAACACACAGAAACAAUUCUGCAUUAAAUACGUUUAAAGACAUUUACUAUGUAUUGAUAAUCUUGCGUCGCGUCAGCGUUAGCUGAACUUAUCUUAAUCUUUUCAAAAAUCUGUAUUUGUGUUUUACGGGUGCAAUACAAAAAACAAUAGAAGAGUAAUUCGCCCGCUACCAUUUACAUUUGAAUAUUUCAUUAAAAGUCUGAGAACAUGCUAAAAACUGCAUGGCUUAUAUUUCAUUAAAAAAUAUAAGAUGAGGACUUAACUACAUUUGCAUUUAUACGAAAAGGAAAACGUACAGUUAUAACUAUUAAAUAUUUGCUCAUACUUGAAAAUAUAUUGUUCGAAAUAUUUCAAAGUUCUUUAAAUAGAACGUUUAAUGUGUAAAAGUAAUUUAAUUAUUUAUUAUUUGCAUACUUUGUUUUAAAGGAACCCUAACAAUUGGGUAACAUAUCUUAACGUAUCUAUAAAACAGUUUUAUAAAUAUAUACAUACACAAAGUUAAUAGAAACCUAGAUGGCAAAAUACAGUCUCAAACAAUAUAAAUGCGUCUAUACUGUAUGUGAAGAUAAAAACCGCCAGCAUGCUUAGAGCGCUGUAACUGGUAGUGAAAAAAAAUCCGUAAACAAAGAGCGAACAAACAGCACUUAAAUUGCUGUUCGGUUCUUUGUGUACUGGGAAAAAAACACCAAAAAGAAACAUUCGGACAAGCACGGGGUUUACCAAAAUAUAUGGUAGAUAAACUGGUAGGAGAUAAUAUAUUAACAUUGUAUUUAAUUUACUAAUUACAACAACGGUAAAACAAAGUCGACAAGUAACUUCAACAUCGGUGUAACCUUAAUUGUCUUUUGCAGAUAUGUUUGAUGUAGUAUAUUAUCUUUCAAUUUCAUCAUGUAGUUGGAUCGUUUUAGUUUUUAUCGUAAUGUUUUCUACCUUACGUUGUAAUGGAUGCAAAGGAAAAAAGACCCGUAGAUGUACCAGCUUGGUCAUGUUUUCUUGGUGU